rnacentral:rRNA from 1 species
CAGGGGACCUUCGGGCCUUGCGCGGAUAGAUGAGCCGAUUCGGAUUAGCUAGUUGGCGGGGUAAAGGCCCACCAAGGCGACGAUCCGUAGCUGGUCUGAGAGGAUGAUCAGCCACACUGGAACUGAGACACGGUCCAGACUCCUACGGGAGGCAGCAGUGGGGAAUAUUGGACAAUGGGCGCAAGCCUGAUCCAGCCAUACCGCGUGGGUGAAGAAGGCCUUCGGGUUGUAAAGCCCUUUUUGUUGGGAAAGAAAAAGCAGUCGAUUAAUACUCGGUUUGUUCUGACGGUACCCAAAGAAUAAGCACCGGCUAACUUCGU